GGGCCUGGGCCUGGAGUCCGGUGUGGUCGGGCGUUCGACUCGCGCGACUCCCCGCCCGAGGGCCCACCGGGCUCCGGCUGGAAGCCGCCCAGGGUGCGGCAGCGAAACUUUGGCCCGGUUGCAACCACAGUGGCGUUUAGGCCGGACGCUCUUGCUCCCGUUUCACGGAGCGGUCGAAAUCCGUAGACGUUUCUAAUGCGUUCUACCGGUAGCCCAGCCCUCUUCGUCCUCAGCCUCUAUUCGUGCUCACUUUUCUCCCAGGCAGGUAGCUCCAGGGGCCUCCCGUCUCUCUCCUCCCCACCCUAUCCCGUUUUCCCUUGAGCAUCCCCUGCUGCUUGCCAGGUGUGCCUUUAGUGAGAACCCGAUCUUUCCAGCACUUUUUUUCCUGCUGGUGAAGACAAACCCACAUGCUUUUAGUUUUCAGGGUUUUGUUAUCGAUCAGUUUCAUCCAUAGGUAGUGCUUACAUAGCACGUGCUACGUGCCAGCCAUGAUGUUUAGUGGGUUUAUGUGCAUUAAUUCACCCAGUCUUUGGAACAGCUCUAAACUUAAUCUUAUUAUACUAUCACUAAUUUGCAAAUCAGAAAACUGAGAUCUGAGGCAAAUUAAGUAAAUUGACUAAAGUUAUACAGACAACACACUGCCUGAUCAUGAACUGAAUUAUCUUUAAAAUUAUUAUUGGUACAUAAUCAAAGCAAAGUAUCACAAAGUUUCAUAAUUAUUCAAUAGAACGUAACACUUCUGGGGAAAUGCAUCUCGCUGAAAUGGAUAUUGUUGCUUUUUAAAAUUCAUAAAUCUGUGAAUGAUUAUAUCUUAUUGCUGGGACGGGAAGGAUUGAGCAUCAAUACCACUCUUAAGUUUUAGUUUUUAUAACUGUAUGGCCUUAGAAACGCAACGUUGUAACUGAGCAGGGUCCUGUGAGGCUCCUGGGCACACAAGCCUUUCUGUGUCCUUCAUUUCCCGUUUUUAAGGAAUAAGCUUCAGGCUCCAUGACCUUCCCUGAGCUCCAAAGGGCAGUUGAUAAUCAGGGCAGGAAAGGGAUGCAGAGAUCAGGGAGCAGCAGUCGAGAGACAAUAAUGCAGCCUUGGGGCAGGGCCCUGGUUCCUCCUCAAGGAAUAUACAUAACAAUGUCUUGGAGCCUUUUUGCAGAACUAAAAUCCCCAACAAAGGGAAGAACUACUUGAUGAAGGAGGACCUCCAGAACCAGUCCUGGGCUGCUAAUUAUUUCUCAGCUUUGAUCCUUAUCUGCAGCCUUAUUUUCCACUCCCCAAAGUAUAAAACCACCCCCUAAUCUCUCCCAAGGAGGGCACAGUCUUUAAGGCAUUGGUCUGCUGUGCCCUCCUUUACCUGGCAAAGCAAUAAAGCUCUCUUUUUCUCCUUCACCUAAAACUCUGUCUCCAAAUUUCCAUUCAGCAAUGGCAGACAGAAGCUGAGUUUCGGCAGCAAAAUUUGAGGGCUCAUCCAGGAUCUGCCUGUGGGCAGGCGGCCCCACAGUGCUCUUGGCUGGAUCAGACACUUUGAGGUUUCUCUCCACACCAGUCCCCCUAUAGGUUAGCAGAGGAUUGGAGGAAUCUUUUAGAGGCCAGACUGCUGAGAGUUUCCUGCCAUGGGGCCGGCCCCGAGCAGAGCUGACUGGCCAUCUUGGAAGUUGGAACUCCAGGGUGGAAGAGUGGUUGGUAGGCAGCUCUCACUGGCCUUGGGGGGACUCCUUCCUUUCCCUCUGCUCCUGCCGACCAGAACUUCCCACUUCAAGAAGACUUUUUGGGAAGAGGAAAAGUAGCAUCUGUGAUUUCGAGACACCUCUGCCAGCAUCUGGGUAAGUCCCAGGGCCUGCACUCUGAGGCCCCCUUGACCUUGUCCAUCUGGGGACCCUUUGGUUCCUGUUUGGGGAUUUUCCUUUUGGGAGAUCCCAUUUGUAAUUCUGUGUCUUCCUUUUCCCUGACGAGGAUUUGGGUUUUGCUUUCAAUUUUGUGCUGGAGUAUUUAAUUCCACCUGAUGGUACUCUACAAAAGAUUUUGACUGAGGGUCUAGCCUAGGCCUCAGUUUUGCAAGCUAAGGAAAAACGAAGCCAAUAUGGCAAACAUCUUUGAAAUUCCAUCAGGCAGGGUCUGGGGAUGAUCUCAGGCAACUAGUCGACUUAGAGCUGUGAACCAAUGUCUAAGAUGGCUUAGCUGGAAGAGACUGAGGGGUUGGGCUGAGUGCUUAGGUAAGAGGCUGAUCUGAUACUUUUCCUCAAAUUGGCUGCCUUAAUGGAAUUUGUCAGGAUAAAGGUGAAGGUAUUUCAGGAGAGCCUUUGCUCUGAAGAAAGGGACAAGACUUCUCUCUGCAGGUUAUGGUUUUCUCAGGUGCCUGAGAAAUUCAACAGGGGUGGUGGAGGCUGAGUCCUCCAUGCAAUGUCCCCUAGGGAAACCUACUCAUUAAUUGCAAUGUCCCCGAGGGAAACCCACUCAUUAAUUAAAACCUGCUCAAUUGGGGACAAGAAUAAGAACUAGCCAUUCGGCCAUCUGAGUACCCGUGGUGUCCUAGAUGCCACUGGGAGACCGGAGAUAGUAAACUUUAUCCGUGACAAGGUCAGCUGUAAAAUGGGAAAUGGAGGAUACAGAACGGCUUGUGGGGCCCAGGAGCCUCACAGAGCCCUGCUCGGUUACUCUAUCACUCCGUACUUGAUCUCAAAACAUUAGAUUUGAGGAUCUUUGAGAUGACGUUUCAGUUAGGCCCUCCUCCAAUGUUACUGAAAGUAGAGAAUUGAAAACCACCUGAAUUGCCAAAGGGUUUGUUUACCUAGUCCUUGUUCUUCUACUUUUUCAGUUUCUGAGAAAUAUACCAGACAGGUUUUAUCAAGACAUCAAAUGACUAUGAUUUAGACUUUUUUUUUUUUUAAUGAAGUGUAUCUUGUUUAACCUGAUAUACUCAGAUUUGGGGAAAAACCUAAACAUAGUCCUUUUGCACAAAUAACUUUCGGGUACAUUUUUGUUGUUGUUACAUGUAGUUCAGUUGUGUGUUUGUCAAAAGUUUGCGGCUAAUGAAACACUUCCUAAAAGUUAAAACUUUCUGGAAUAGGAAUUGUUUGUUGUCUCACCUAAUUAACAGCCCGUUUUCUUAUCAAACUGGCCGAAAUGGGUUUAUGAGAAACAGUUUGACUUCAUUGUUUCAAUUCACAUAAAGUGUAGUGCAUUUUGAGGACUGGAGUGAAGACUGCAGAGAACAAAAGUCAUGUAAUGAAUCUUAAAAGCUUUAUUACAAGAGUUCCUCUCUUGGUGCAGCGGAAACAAUCUGAGGUUGCAGGUUCCAUCCCUGGCCUUGCUCAUUGGGUUAAGGAUCUGGCGUUGCCAU
rnacentral:lncRNA from 1 species